AAUGGAUUGGAAAUCGGAAUUUUUAGUCAUUGAUAGUAGUCAAAGAAAAUUCACCGUAAGUUAUGCAAAUGACUAAUUAGCUACGAUUUGAACGAAAUACAGUAAUUUGUUUGCUUCUUGUGUCACAAGUAAUUUACUUCUAAAAGGGUAAUAAAUUGUCAAAUACAUAAUAUGAAUUCAUUAACCCGGGAAAGUUUUCGAAUAAAUGUUGCCAGAAAAAGACUAGGACAAUUUUGCAAUGCCAAAUUACAUAGCUUCAUUUUCUUCAAUUUUCAAAUUGAAGUUUACAGCUAAAUUUGAACUAUACUAACUUGCAAAUAAGAGUUAAUUUUUAAAUGGGAUUUAGAACAGCAAUUGAAUAAAUUCUCUGCAAAGUCAACCUCACAAGUUGUUGGUUUCGUAUUGUUCAAGUAUGCAUUUAUUAGUUUAACAAAUUGUGAGAAGUCAACCAACUUUUGAAUUUAUUGAGAUUAAAUGAAAAUGCAAGAAGAAUAUUGUGUAUAGUUGGUACAAACAGUUAUUAUUAUUUUUACAUUGUGCACCCACAAGAAGCAAAAAAAAAAAAAAUCCUCACAGUAAGAAACACCGGAUGAAUAAUAAAUUUAUAGAAAGCGAUUAUUUUCAAGCGAGUCUUCUGUGACUGAUGGGCGUUCAUCAACAACUCUCCUAGUUUUAUGAUCAUUUGAGAACUAUACAUCAAGGAAGGAUAUAUUAGCUUGUAGCCAUUCAAAUCCUUCGCCGCAACAAUUACAUCUCUCUCAACGUCUUCUCUGUUUGCUGCUGCUUCCACGCGUUUAUUGUGCCAACAAUUUGCAAACCACUUACUCUAUCCACUUGUUAAUGUUUCAGGACUUUCCUGUUUAUUAUUGUUAUAAUAUGUAGGCAUAUGUAUGGAACUACUUUUUUAAUGAGUUAGUGCAUCAAAUACCUUUUAUAGCAUUAAUCAUUCUCACGAGUUCCUGAGUUUUAGCUUUUAAUCAACAAAACACCAAUACUGUUGCGAACCGUGUUGUUUAUAAAUCACUAAUAAGAACUUAAAAUUUCGGCCGAAGUAAAUGUGUAUAAUAAUAUUAUAAUUUUGUUUAUUAUAUAUUGACCAAUAUCUUGUCCAUACAUGUAAAUUGUCGAACACCUAUUUUGUGUCACCAUAAACGAUUACUGGUAAAACCGGGUUGUUUGGGAUUUACAGUUAACAUGGGUCAUAUUUAAAAAAUUCUGAAUUAUGCCGUUUGGUAGCAUUCAUUUACCUUUUUUUGUAAUUUUAAUUUAUUCAAAAUUGAGUCCCAAGUUAUUAUCUCUUGAGAGUUAAACGUGACAUUUUUUACUAUUUAAUAUGGUU